rnacentral:snRNA from 1 species
GUGCUCGCUUCAACAGCACACAUACUAAAAUUGGAAUUACACAGAGAAGAUUAGCAUGACCCUGUACAAGGAUGAAGAGUAGGUUUUAAAUUUUU